rnacentral:rRNA from 1 species
GACGGAGGAUGCAAGCGUUAUCCGGAAUGAUAGGGCGUAAAGCGUCCGCAGGUGGCAAUUCAAGUCUGCUGUUAAAGCGCAGGGCUUAACUCUGUAAAGGCAGUGGAAACUGAAUAGCUAGAGUGUGGUAGGGGUAGAGGGAAUUCCCAGUGUAGCGGUGAAAUGCGUAGAUAUUGGGAAGAACAUCGGUGGCGAAGGCGCUCUACUGGACCAUAACUGACACUCACAGGACGAAAGCUAGGGGAGCGAAUGGG